CGAGUAGGCGGAUCUGCAAGUCAGAUGUGAAAUCCCGGAGCUCAACUCCGGAACUGCAUUUGAAACUGCAGACCUUGAGUGAUGGAGAGGCAGGCGGAAUUCCCGGUGUAGCGGUGGAAUGCGUAGAUAUCGGGAGGAACACCAGUGGCGAAGGCGGCCUGCUGGACAUUAACUGACGCUGAGGAGCGAAAGCGUGGGGAGCAAACA
rnacentral:rRNA from 1 species